AUUGAACGCUGGCGGCAUGCCUUACACAUGCAAGUCGAACGGCAGCACGGGUGCUUGCACCUGGUGGCGAGUGGCGAACGGGUGAGUAAUACAUCGGAACAUGUCCUGUAGUGGGGGAUAGCCCGGCGAAAGCCGGAUUAAUACCGCAUACGAUCUACGGAUGAAAGCGGGGGACCUUCGUGCCUCGCGCUAUAGGGUUGGCCGAUGGCUGAUUAGCUAGUUGGUGGGGUAAAGGCCUACCAAGGCGACGAUCAGUAGCUGGUCUGAGAGGACGACCAGCCACACUGGGACUGAGACACGGCCCAGACUCCUACGGGAGGCAGCAGUGGGGAAUUUUGGACAAUGGGCGAAAGCCUGAUCCAGCAAUGCCGCGUGUGUGAAGAAGGACUUCGGGUUGUAAAGCACUUUUGUCCGGAAAGAAAUCCUUGGCCCUAAUACGGUCGGGGGAUGACGGUACCGGAAGAAUAAGCACCGGCUAACUACGUG
rnacentral:rRNA from 1 species